rnacentral:rRNA from 1 species
UCGGUAGUAGCGACGGGCGGUGUGUACAAAGGACAGGGACGUAAUCAAUGCGAGUUGAUGACUCACGUUUACUAGAAAUUCCUCGUUGAAGAUUAAAAAUUACAAUAAUCUAUCCCCAGCACGAUGCGCUUUCAAGAUUACCCGACCCCUACCGGGGCAGGACAGCUUGAUGAACGCAUCAGUGUAACACGCGUGCGGCCCAGAACAUCUAAGGGCAUCACAGACCUGUUAUUGCCUCGCACUUCCACCGGCUUGGAUCCGAUAGUCCCUCUAAGAAGCUCGCGACAUCGAACAUCGAUGCCGAAACUAUUUAGCAGGUCGAGGUCUCGUUCGUUAACGGAAUUAACCAGACAAAUCACUCCACCAACUAAGAACGGCCAUGCACCACCACCCAUAGAAUCAAGAAAGAUCUUCAAUCUGUCAAUCCUCACUAUGUCUGGACCUGGAAAGUUUUCCCGUGUUGGGUCAAAUUAAGCCGCAAGUUCCACUUCUGGUGGUGUCCUUCCGUCAAUUCCUUUAAGUUUCAGCCUUGCGACCGUACUCCCCCCGGAACCCAGAAACUUGUGAUUUCUCAUAGGGUGCUGAUAGAGCUAUCGAAAACACGUCUACCAACCCCCAGUCGGCAUUGUUUACGGUUGGGACUACGACGGUGCCAAAUCGUCUUUGCUACCCCAACUUUCGUUCUUGGCCAAUGAAAACAUUCUUGGUAGAUGCUUUCGCUAUUGUUCGUCUUCCAUUGGUCAUUACAUUUCACCUCUAGCAAUGGAAUGCGACUACCCCCGACUGUUCCUCUUAAUAGUUGCAACAGUGCCUUAUGCCAACGCAACACGGACUGGAGCCCCUUUGGUGUUAUCCCGUGCUUGUGUAUUCAGAGCAACGCCGUGCUUGCUAUGAACACCAUAAUUUCGUCAUGGUAACUUACCGGUAGACCAUCGCGGAGUCGCUCCGAACGGAGACCUCCUUGUCGGUAUACCGGUAUAGCAGUGUGAUACAAUGAUACAUCACAACACUAGAAUCCGACUACGAACGUUUUAACCGCAACAAUAAUAGUAUACGCUAUUGGAGCUGGUGUUACCGCGGCUGCUGGCACCAGCCUUGCCCUCCAAUAGAUCAUCGUUCAACGAUCCAGAUUGAACGCAUUCCGCACUUCAAAUCUUCUCGAUUGGGAUGCGGUAUGUUUCGUCACUACCUCCCUGAAUCAGGAUUGGGUAAGUUGCGCGCCUGCUGCCUCCCGUAGUAGUGGUAGCCGUCUCUCAGGCUCCCUCUCCGGAAUCGAACCCUAAUUCCCCGUCACCCGUUAAAGCCACGGUAGUCCACUACACUACCGUCAAUAGCUGAUAGGGCAGAAAUUUGAAUGAACUAUGCCCUGGCAGAGCCUGAGCAUUCGAACAGUUAUCAUGAUUCACCAGAAGUCCCCGAAGGGGCUGGUUCGGAUCUAAUAAAUACCACCAAAAGGUGUUUACGCAUGUAUUAGCUCUAGAAUUACUACGGGUAUCCAUGUAGUUUUUCACCAUCAAAUAAAUUAUUUCUGAUUUAAUGAGCCAUCUGCAGUUUCACAGUAUAAAGUUGUUUAUACUUAGACAUGCAUGGCUUAGUCUUUGAGACAAGCAUAUCACUACUGGCAGGAUCAACCAGGUAUCUACCGUCAGAGGCCUCCGGGACACGCAGCGCAGUGUGUGCGUUUGCUAGGCGCCAGCCACUAGAAGCAGCUAACUCACCCAAACACAUACCCCGCACCACACCUCCCAGAGACUCAGCGGAAACUCGCAGCGAGCCACAUC